rnacentral:tRNA from 1 species
AGACACAUAAUUUAUAAAAAUAUCUAGCCUGCAACUAGAAAAUGCUUCUGCUUUGUCUA